GAUUUAUGGAUAUUAAUAAUUAAAAUAUAUAUGAAUUGUAGGUUGAUAAUGUAUAAGGUUGAUUUUUAUAGUUUUUUUUUGAAUAGAAUUAGGUUUUUUUUAAUAAAGUUUUUUUAUUAAUAAGAAUAGUAGUUUUAUUAAUAUAUUGAUUAUUUUUGAAUUAUUUUUAUAAUUUUAGGUGUAAUUGUGGGUUAUUUAUAUUGUUUAUAUUUAA
rnacentral:misc_RNA from 1 species